UAGAAGCAUCUUCCCCUAGCUUAUCUGGGAGUACCCAUGACCUGGGGCUGGCUUAUCAGUCAGUCCUACUGUGACCUCAUAGAGAUCACUGAUAGCUAAUGUUAAAUACCUAGGUGGUACCCACAGCAAUUUGGCCUCAGUGGACUAGAAUGGUGUGAUUCACUACCUAAGCUCAUGGCAGUGAGCUUAGGAAGUAGCUAAAAUCACAGGGAGCAUGCACAACAGCGUGAGAAAGAGUUGUAGAGCAAGAUGCACAGGAUUUGGGUUUUGACUACAGCAUUUACCAUCUGGGUGACCUAAGAUUCAGGUCUUCUCGAAACCUGCCAUAACCCACCCAGGACAAGACAAAGGUUCCUCUUCUCUGCCACUGAUGGCUAAGUAGAAUGGAGUCUCCUCUUACAACAUGAUGGAUAACAAGCUUUGCAUCCUUUUCAUUUAA